AUUACCGUAAUUGGUCAAGGCUCUUCAGGAUUUGCCCUUGAAUUUUUCAGGAUUGCAUUCUUUAAGGAGUCAAUACUUAAAUAAAAAAUGAGAAGGUGGCAGUGGAUGCUGGGUAGCCAAUCCAGUGUCUGCUACAGGAGCUCAGGGAUGACGCCUCUGAAAUAAAUGACAUUUAAACUUAAGAUGAGUAACAGCAAGAAGUAAGGAGGACGCACCUUCAGGCAGAGGGAGUCGCGUGUGUGGCCUGACCGCGCCACCUGUUAAAGGUGUACAUGAAAUUCCUCAUUUACUACGUCGACCCAUAAAGGAACUGAGCUGGCUCAUCUUUGAAAUGCCAUUCAAGCAAGGAAAAUGGAACACUGGAAAUCUUGCUGGGAACCCCUGCAGCAUAGGGGCAGAGAACUUAGUGGAGGAAUGCCAGCUGAUGUUACCAGCUGCAUGUCAGAGUGUGGCUACCAACGUGACACCACUAAAUGUGGGGCUGGGAAGAGAGGAGCAAAGUAGCUCUCAGAAGCCAGUAUAAGCAUCUCCAGGACACCACUGAAGUGAAAAUUGGAAGCAAUAUAGAAGGCACCGAAAUGUUCUGCCUUUUCUUUGUCUUGGAUCACUGGUUAUGGAGGAAGCCAGAUGCCAUGUUGUGAGCCGUCCUAUGGAAAGGUCCACGUGGCAAGAAACUGAGGCCUCCAGCCAACAGCCAAAGGCCUAGGCUUGGGAGGGAUCCUGUAGCCCCAGUCAAGGCUUCAAAUGACAGCACCCUUGUGACUACAAUCUUAUGAGAGACCUUGAGCUGUUCCCAGGUUCUUGAACCAUGUGUUGUUUUAAGAUGCUAAUUUCCUUAAGACAAUUUGUUACACAGUAACAGCCAACUAAUAUACCUGGCCAGAAGGAUGCUUUUAGAAAUUUGAAUCUAAAUGCUUUGGGAUUGGGAAAAUAUCUCCCAAUUUGUCACAGACUCUUAUCUCUACCCACCUCAGGCUUUCACCCAGUUCAUAGAGACAUCUGAGCUGAAAAUACCUGUAUGACUUUCAUCAGAUAUUCAAUGGAAGUUGCAUAUUUUAAAGAAUUGAUCCAGGCCAUAUGUUUUUCUAAUUCAAGCCAAAAAGAAAACAAGUUUGGCUAUAAAAAAUGUUUGGGAAACGCAGACAUGAGCUAAUUCCUACUCCUAUUGCAUCCUGACAUCUUAAAGUCUAUAGGGUGUGCUUCAUGAAAGAACUCUGUUUAACUUUCUUUAGUCUAAUUUUUAGUCUAAUCUUGGUCUAAUAUUUCCCAAAAUUUAGUUAGUUACCUUUCCUUUCUUUGUUUCUUUCAUCCUUCAUUGCAUGAUAGCUCUCACCAUACCAUGGAACACUUCAAGAAAUGCUGUGCCACUUGCAUAUCAGAGCUCCUAAAAUUGUGAGGUUUGCAACAUCACCCAUGGUGGACUAACAGAGACAUGAAUUAGAGUCUUAGCUUUUUGUGCUAAGUGAAUAGCUAGCACAAAGUGAACAGCUAGAGUCCUGUCUGACCUGGUGUCCUAGGAAUUUGCCUUGCUUGCUUUUUUAUUAUAAUCCAUUGCCAAAUACAGGUGCAUAGAGGAGUCAUUCUUUAAGCAUUAAAUUGCUACCAUACAUCCUGCCUAGUGCCUGGCUGUCACUCAAGGAAGCAGAAACUGGCACUUGGAGUAGAUCACCCAGGAACAGGGGCAGCCAGGUGUGGGUUUCCUGAUUGGUGGCAAGGCAGGCAACCUGAAGCAUACCUCAGAAGGAAGAAGUUGAAUGACACCAGAGACCAUCAGUCCUCUUUUUCCAAUGGGAGAGACUUAGAAGGGCUGCUAUAGCUUAGAAGAAUUGUUAAUGGUAUUCAUUUGCUCCCAUCUGUAUCCAUAGGUGGCCUUUGUGGAGAGAAAGAAGGAAAUGUAUGGACAUUGCCAUUUUCCAUCUUCUGACAGAGUGUCCUCUUCUUCUCCAAGUGCUUUGCUGGGUUGAGUUGUCUUAGUUUGAAUUCCUCCUGAGGCAGACCCUGAGACAAGAUUCCAGUGUAAGUAGUUUAGUGAGGUGGUGGUGCCAGGAAACCCUGUAGAGCGCAGAGAAGAGAACAAGAGGGAAAAGGAAGCCAGUGAAGAGGAAAGAUCAAGCCAGUUACCACCGCAAGCAAGUGGCACUUAUCCCCACUGGGAGCUCUAGGAGUCAGUGAGGACUCAGCUCAGAGUUUUCCCUGCAGGGAGCUGGGCAUUUUGUCCACAAACUCCUAUGAGUGAUUGGAGGGAAAUAACUCCCCUUUUUGAGGGACAAUAAUUCCCUUUUACUGCCAGCCUCUCCUGGCAGUCAGAGAGCCUGCAGGCAAGGACCAAUGGUGCCAACAGUUAGAAGUCAGGCCUGGGUGCAUGGAAAUGGUAAAUUGUCUGCUACAAAAGUCAAUUUCUGUCUUUCCUGAUGGCUUCCUCUUUCACUUUCAUUUAUGCUUGGUCUCUUUCCCUAAUCCCUCUAGUUCUUCUAAGUCACUGAGUGCCUCUUUCUAGAAGAGCCAAGGCUCACCUCUCUACCUGAUCUUUCAGGCAAACUUACCUGCACUGCUGCGAAGGUCUGGUCAGUCUCCUCCAUGUCAUUUUCUACCCCCGUUGGACUCUGUUAGGAGUUUGAGAUGCAAUUAGAUAUCACAUGCAGGAUAGUUAAUAGAAAUCUAGUUUCUUCACAAGCAUGCAUAUUUUAAUAACUUUUGGUAGCAACCAACCACUUUGAAAACUUGACCGUUGCUGUUUCCCUGAUAAGCUAUUCAAUUUAAUUUAUUUGGUUGUAGUAACCAUUUGGUAGUUAAUCAAAGAGGAAAAAUAUUUGAAUCACUUAAGUAUGUGCAAACAUUUUCUCUUCAUAUUGACUUUAAUCACAAAUCACUUUCUUUCUGUUAAACAUCAGGUAAGCAAAUUUUCCAAGUCUGAUAUAUAAAACCUCUGAAUUCCCAUUUCUUCAUAGUUAACUAAAAGUUGAGACUGUUGCUUCAAAUCUUGCUGGUUUUUGUUUUUUUUUUUUUUGCUGAUGAGAUAAAUGAUUUUAUGUGUCCUAUGACUUUAGAAAGAUCACACUGUUUAUUCACAUUAACUAUUACAUUUUGGUUAAUAGUUAAAGUAAAAAUGUCCACCCAGCCUUUCCUCCCUCCAAGGCUUUGCUGGGAUUCAAGGCAGGCCACCCCCAAAUGCACCUCAAUGGCAUAGUGAUUAUUUUUAAUUAAAGGAACUUAAGAAAUGGCCAACACAAGAGGGACACCUUGACCCUCCUUUCCGUCGCCCUGAAACAAGAAUUAAAUCUCUCAUGGGAAAGGCACACUCUUUGCAUCUGGAGGUAGAAGGGCACACUUAAUUGCCAGCGACAGGGAAUUAGGGCCAAGAAGCUUACAUAAACAAACACUGUUACUUCUUUAAUCUACUGCCUCAAGCCCAAUCUCUGUUUAGAUUCUUCACUAAUUGAGCUCUCAAAACCUACGUUUCUUUAUGCUGUCAAUUUCUCACAAAUUUGUAUUUUGUCUCUCUAAAAAGGAUAAAAGCUGCCUGCUUUGGCCACUUCUUAGGUCCCAUUUCUAUGAGACCUCCAUGUGCAUGAAUUAAAAUUUGUUUCUUUUUGCACUGUUAGUCUUGUGUCAAUUUUACUAUUACUCAAGAGGGAAAUUUCCCCCUUUCCAACAACUUCUUCCAGGGAAAUGUUAAUCAAUAAAAAUUAAAUAUGUCUUCCUAGGGAAAGAAACAAUUUAUGCCUUUUCAGUACCUAAAGGGUAUAAAGGUAUCUAUUGCUUCAAUCUGAAAUGUCAAGGUGGGGAGCGGGGGAAGAGACAGAGAGAGAGAGAGAGAGACAGAGCAAUAAAACUCUAGCAUCCUUGAAGGAGAGAAGAGUUGCCAGUUUAAUGAUGUAGGCUCAAAGGCCUAAACACAAACAUUACUGGAGGCAUUUAUCUGGAAAUUACUGAGAGGGUUUUGAGUUGUUUUUGUUGUAUCUUUCGAAGUACUCUAGGUUCAUCAAGGGUCCUAGAAACAACUGUGAAGGAGGCAGGGUGGAUUUGUUUUUGGUUUGCUUUGUUUGUUUUGUUCCGAGGGUUUCUUCAUUGUUUGGGAAACACUGAUCUCAGUGUCUCCUUACCUUUUCAGGACUCCCUUACCUAGAGUCUAAAGUCUCCUGAUUCUUUGUAAGAGUCCUGGUCAUUUUCUAACCAAUGUUAUUAAAAUGUUUACAUGCCUCCCUCCCCAAGCACACUCUCUUAUUCGUCUUUGCAGUUCUCACAGAAUCUAGCACCCUGAUUUGUAUAUAGGUUAUCUUAUUUAUAUAUUGACAUGUGGUUUUAUAGUAUACUUAUAUUUACAGUUAUAUAAUGCAUAUACAUGCCUGUAAAUGUAUAUAUGUCCAUAUAGAGAGUAUCUACCAUAGCUUAAUUCAGUUCAACAACACAAUGAUCUGACUCUGCUCACUCUGCAUGAGAAAACCAAGCUAUUUCUCAUGCUUGAGUUUGACCAUACGCCACAUAAAUAUGACAGCACCCUCAGUUUAUCACACACUGGAAAAUCUUUAGACUCCCCGAAGUUCUCAUGCUAUUUAUCAAAACCCAAUACUAAAUUUAAGUCUUUCACGUACAUGUGUUUUCUAAUAUAUCUGCCCCAUUUUUGAAACAUCUCAGCUGUUGCACAUCACAUGACACUUAGAUAUAGGAAAUGAUUCCAAUAUGUUUUUAAAAGUAUGAUAUGCAGAUAUAUUCUCGUAUUUCUAGAGUCUUCAAAAACAAAUGGUGACAACUCACCAAUUCCUGCUGAAGAUACAUGCAUAGGCACACAUGAUUUUCUCACCCACAAUAAUCACCAAAUCUAGUUGGUACGAGUAGAUUCUUCCAAGCUAGUGAGAGAGGGAAACGAAGUUUCACGAUUUCAGGAAAGGAAUGUAAAGCAACAUAGUUAUGAUGGAGGAAUGGAACUAGUAAAUAAAAACUUAAGACUCUCAGGAACAUUCUUUGAAUCCCCCAAAUUAUAACUCUUUUUUAAAACUAUAAGUUUAUAAGAAGAAAACUGAAUAUGGCAAUUUACAGACAUCAUGUCCACACGGUUCUUAGGAAAUCAAAGAAAGACAACUUCUUAUACUCUUUUAAGAAUACGUAUGGAUCUCAAACCCUUUCAUCGGAAAUGUUUCAGGUAUCACUGGUGGAAGAAUGUUUUACUGGGCGGAGAAAGAACAUGGAGGUGUAUUUCGAAAAUAAUCUAAACCUAGAAUGGGGUGAUAUUGGUGAGAAGCUUGAUACAACAUGGUGAAACCUGGCCCCUCGUUCUAGUCAAGGUUCUGCUGGGUAUUGGCUCUUAUCUUUUUACCUUCCUUCUGCAAUAAUUGUUUCAGCCACCAAAAAGAGGUUGAGCUGGAAGACCUCUUAAGCUCCUUUUUUUCAGGGUUGUUUCAAAAGGAUCUGAACUUUGCAGCCCAUAUUCCAAAAGUGCCUUUAACAAUCACAAUUUAUAUGUUUGACUCAAAUGGGAUAAUAAAUAGUACAGUCAUGACGACAUGUAUGUGAUCCCAAAAAUGAAUUUGACUACUCUGAUUUUCUCUCUGAUUAUAUUGGCUAGCUAUUUCCCUAAAUUGACUAAAACUUGUCUGUUGUUUAGAAAAUCACAUAGACAUAGUAGUAGUAGGCAUGUAGUCAUGCAGAAUAGGCGAAGACACCUUUGAGGUGAAGAUGGCUUUAGUAAGAUGAAGGUGGCUUUAGUAAGGUAAAGCCAGGGAUCAACAAUAUUCUUUUUCCUCCUAACGUUGCUGGUUUAGUGACAUGAUUUUAUUUUGACUAAAUUAUAAAGCCAAGGAUAUGGUGGUAUUUAACAACAUGAUGUUAAAAGUUAGCCUAGAAUAUUAUUGUUUUAUGAUCAGUGCUCAAUGAAGGAAAUUAGUAUAUCUGAAAAGGAUGAUCUGUAUCCUAGAGCUAAUAGAAUAGAUUUGUCUCAUCAUUUUAGGGACCUUCUAAAUUGUUAAUGAGAUUUUCUGAUGACACAAUAAUAACAGUUGCAUUCAGGCUCCCAAGGCUGACUUUAAACAUCUGCUUUUGCUGUUAAAGUUAUUGUUCAUUUCAUCUUAAAAUAGGAAUAAUACAACACUCAGCUUUUCCAGAAAUAGAUCUAUCACUUGUAAAACAAUGACAAGUGAGAGCACUAUUCUAUAGAUAAAGAAAAUUUAUAUUUAACUAUUCAAUAAAUAGAACCCAGUCUUAGAUAAAUCACAAAGAUAGACCCUAUUAUGGGCUGAAUUCUGUCCACCCAAAAUUCAUACGUUGAAGCUCAAGCCCUCAAUGAAACUGUAUUUGGAGAUAGGACCUUUAUUACUAAAAUAAUUAAGAUUGAAUGAGGUCAUAAGGGAUUUUAGGAUUAGAGUCCUUAUAAGAAGAGGAAGAGAGACCAGAUCUCUCUCUCUCUCUUUGCCAUGUGAAGACAUAGCAAGAAUGUAAGCCAGGAAGAGAGUCCUCACCAAGAACUGAAUCAGCCAGCACCUUGAUCUUGGACUUCCAGCCUCCAGAACUGUGAGAAAUGCAUGUCUAUUGUUUAAGCCACCCUGUCUAUGGUAUUUUGUUAUGGCAGCCUGAGCUGACUAAUGUAGACCCUAUCAUGGAUGACGAAAAUCAACGUUUUUAAGUUAGGAUAAGUAGUAGGUGAAUGUGCUUUUUAAUGUCUUCUUGCCAUUAUUGUUCACUUGUUUGUUUGUUUUUCAGAAGUGGAGCUCCCCAAUAUGGCCCGAGAAUAGACUAUUCAAUGAAAGGCAAGAAGCUAGUGUGUAACUGACAUACAAUUCUUUACAAGAUCUCCUGUGUUCUUCAGGAACCCAACCUAAGCUUCUGACCUCUAGAUUAGCAGCUAGGCUUAUGCAUUUUCUUUUUUUUUUUUUUUGCGGUACGCGGACCUCUCACUGUUGUGGCCUCUCCCGUUGCGGAGCACAGGCUCCGGACGUGCAGGCUCAGCAGCCAUGGCUCACGGGCCCAGCCGCUCCGCGGCAUGUGGGAUCUUCCCGGACCGGGGCACGAACCCGUGUCCCCCGCAUUGGCAGGCGGACUGUCAACCACUGCGCCACCAGGGAAGCCCUUAUGCCUUUUCUUUACAUUAUCCAGUGACACCUGUCCUUGUUUCCUUGACCUGGCUCUAAUUGCUGUCUAUCUCUUUCCAAUUGGCCUGCAGGACCUGUUGAAGAAGCUAAGAGUACUAUAAAUUUACAGAUCUCGUGAGAUUGGUAAAGAUAGGAAAAAUAAGUCCAUGUGAACACUGCUGUUGUUUGAGCCCUGAUGUCAGAUUCAUAUUUAUCUGCCCAAGUGGGAAUACAAUAAAAAUGUUCCAGAAAAAAAAAUAGUGUUUGUUUCUUCUCAUAAGGGUCAUAGCAGACAAAAUAGCUGAGUGAGAACUGGAAGAGUCAUAGCAGAAUUGCAAAGAU